rnacentral:sRNA from 1 species
GGCAAGGUGUAUUUAAGAAAAUCCCAAACAAAAGUUCACUUUGUGUUUAUCAAAAUAAGGCACAGAGAUUUAAAGAGAAUUCCAUUCCAACAAAGAAGUGGCAAAAUUAAUUAAAUAAAGUGCAUUAUUGGCAGCAUGAGGUUCACUCUGAAGGCAGUAGCCGCCAUGGUCUCAAAGUUAAAAUGUAAACAGUAAACGGAAGAAUUCACCAGCCUCGGACGGACAUAGCAAAAGCAACAGUUUACAGAAAAGUAGCACAUGACAUGAAAUCAGCCAAUCCAAAAAAGCCCAAACACAAGACAAACAACCGGCAGAGAAAAUAAACUGAAAACAGCCAACUAUGGUCAUCAAAAGGCCACAAAGUGCCACGAUAAACGUAAAUAUCACCCACUUAAGAAGAUGCGAUGCGACGUGAAGUAUAGAUGAAACAACGGCCUUUUAAGGCUCUCAAUAAGUAAAGACAUAUAACUAAAUGUCGAAGGUAGACCGUUGGAUGGAUGGAUGGAUGGCUCGAUGUAAGGAGAAGAAGCCAAGUUACCAACAUAAACAACAAAAGAUAAUAACUUUGUUAUUCAUCCUUUAAAAAAUUAACAAUAAUUAUGGCUAAAGCAGCAAAAGAAACACAUGCACUGAGUUGAAAUAAAGUGGAAAAAAGUGAAACCCAACAAUGCCCUUCUACAGGUGUUUGGAGAGGACUUAUAUAACCAAAAAUGGUGUGCCAAUGAAAAAAAUUAUUCAAACCAAUUUCAGGACAGCUCAGGAUACAAGUAUUUUAAAGCAGCGAAUAAACAUUUUUUUUUUUCAAAACAACUUGAAGGCAGGCCAUCAACACCAGAAACAGCUGCUAAUUUAACAUAAGCCAUAAGUCUUCAUCGUAAAGAGUUACUUAAAAUAAAAUGUAAUAUGGUCAUU